GUAACGCUGACAGAAUGCUAACACCAUGCGAUCUAGACUGGAAUUCACCUUCGGCUGAUAGUUCAGGUGGCGGACGGGUGAGUAACGCGUAAAGAACUUGCCCUCUAGACUGGGACAACUGUUGGAAACGACAGCUAAUACCGGAUAUUAUGGGAACCUCGCAUGGGGAACCUAUGAAAGGCUAUAUGCGCUAGAGGAGAGCUUUGCGUGCCAUUAGGUAGAUUGGUAGGGUAAUGGCCUACCAAGCCGACGAUGGCUAGCCGGCCUGAGAGGGUGAUCGGCCACAAGGGGACUGAGACACGGCCCUUACUCCUACAGGGAGGCAAGCAGUGGGGAAUAUUGGACAAUGGACCAAAAGUCUGAUCCAGCAAUUCUGUGUGCACGAUGAAGGUCUUCGGAUCGUAAAGUGCUUUCAGUAGGGAAGAAAAAAAUGGCGGUACCUACAGAAGAAGCGACGGCUAAAUACGUGCCAGCAGCCGCGGUAAUACGUAUGUCGCAAGCGUUAUCCGGCAAUUAUUGGGCGUAAAGCGCGUCUAGGCGGUCUUUUAAGUCUGAUGUGAAACUGCGGGGCUCAACUCCGUAUUGCGUUUGGAAACUGGAAGACUAGAGUAUCAGAGAGGUGGGCGGAACUACCACGUGUACGAGGUGAAAUUCGAAGAUAUUUGUAGGAAUGCGAUUGGGAAAGCCAGCUCA
rnacentral:rRNA from 1 species